GGGGUUAUAGCUCAGUUGGUAGAGCGCUUGCUUAGCGUGAUCGAUUUCGAUAUGCAUGAGGUCUUGGGUUCAAUUCCCAAUAACUCCA
rnacentral:tRNA from 1 species